rnacentral:rRNA from 1 species
UACGGAGGUGGCAAGCGUUGCUCGGAAUCACUGGGCGUAAAGGGCGCGUAGGCGGGGAGGUAAGUCGGGUGUGAAAUCCCUCGGCCCAACUGAGGAACUGCGCCCGAGACUGCUUCUCUUGAGUCCCGGAGAGGAAGAUGGAAUUCCCGGUGUAGCGGUGAAAUGUGUAGAUAUUGGGAAGAACACCAGUGGCGAAGGCGGCUCACUGGCCCGUAACUGACGCUGAGGUGCGAAAGCGUGGGGAGCAAACAGG